CUUUCUCCCACUCUCACAACUUUUCUCCCACCAUUAUCACACUCCAUAGAAGCCUUUGAAGCCCCAAGAGAAGUAGCAAAGCAAGGGAGAGUGUGGGAAAACUAUAGAGUGAAGGUUGUGCUUCGAGGGUCCGGGCGACAGAAAGUGAAGCCGAAGAAGAAACGACUCCACGCCAGCUUUAAGAACAAUUGAGGUUGAGCAGGCGAUGGAAUGGAUCGGUGUUGAGCGGAUUUCCCUUUUGAUGUUUAUGUAAUGAAACCUUGAGUAUGCAUCUCCAUAUGCAUAACUCACACGUUUUUCCGCUGCAAACACUCUGACUUAUUUAUCAUUUCUACUUGAACUUAUUACUACUUCAUUUUAAUUAACUUUCAGUUGGGGUCUAGUCGUUAUGGCAGACUCGUUUGUGAAUUACCCAAGUGGUUAUAUAUAUAUACCACUAGUUUGUUAUUAA